AGCAAUGCCCCUCUGUCUUUCUAUAUUUGUGACAAGAGUUCAACCUGAGGGACCGGCAUCCAUGAUUCUUCAGCCUGGAGAUAAAAUCAUUCAGGCAAAUGGCUACAGCUUUGUGAAUAUAGAUCAUGGGUAUGCAGUGUCCCUCCUGAAGACGUUUCUGAACACUGUGGAUUUGACUAUCAUCAGAGAAGCGCAAGCAUAGACUCAACUAAGACCUCU